UAGCCACUCACUUCUUAUUCUGUCUUCUCUUUUUCCAAACAGUUCAACUUUCUUCAUCCCCUCGUCAAACAGAAGCUCUGCUAGGACUUGAGCUACGACCUCCUCCGAGCUUAUUGAAUGCUCCUCCUCCAUAUCUGGAAGCUCAAAUUUCAAUAGCAAUGAUUGCUGCAAUAAGUGGGGUGUAAAGAACAAAAGUAAAGAAUUAGAAAUUAUAAAGUUUCUGGGUCUUGUUGGGUACACUAUUAUUAUUCUAUUGUUAAUCAUAAACUGUUUUUCAAAUCAAGCUUACUUACAGAAGUAAGUUUCCAGAAAAAACCUUAGUUCAUCUUCCAUCUUGAGAUUUUUUGGAUUCAAAAGACUAAAGUAGGGUUCAAAUGAAUGAUGACCAAAAUAUCUAAAUGAGUCAAAGUGAGUAUUUGGUGGCCAAAGUUAACAACAAAGGUAUGCACUUUAUUUUGUAGGUCGUUCCCUCUCCUUUUACCAACUGCUUUAGCCUUGUCAUCAUUAUCAGCUACUGUAUACCAUCACCAACCAUUAACUUGUUAUCCUAGUAGCUAAAUAUAAGAAAACAGUGAAUGUAGAAUCAUUUUUCCACACAGCAGCACAAGACCAUGCUCCAUGGCAAACAAAUCAUAUCAAAGAGAAAGGUAUGCUUUGCCUCCAUCAAAUUGAUUCUGUAACUAUAUGACAAACCAUAUCAAAGAGAAAGGAAUCAGGAUGCUACUGAUUACACAGCAAGCUCUGUACAGAAUUCGGACAAAAUGCUGAUUGCUGGAUUGGAGAAAAACAAACCCAGAACAAUAUCAAAACAAAAACAAACCAAAGAAUGACACACUAAGCAAUCCAAUUUUAUGUGCAAGUUUCAAAAAGGUAACUUUUGAGAUGUUAGAUAUGUUGGUGGCGGCAAGAAUGUAUCAUAACAUUCUUGGGGAGCAGCAUAUGCCUUUCAAAACUUUAGGCAGAGUGAAACUGUAAUUUUUCUCCAGAUGAGAAAGUAGGAUUCAAAACGGAUCAAUAUUUGUAUCUCAGAUGGUUCAUAGACUUGGUAGUAGGGCUCUUUUGCAAGGUGGCGGUUGAGAUGAGUCGGCACUUGGGUUGAUGGAUGGAGAUUCCACUCCUAGAGUUUUCCUUAGGAAGUUCCUUUCCUGAAAGAACAAGUGUAAAAAUAAAGCACACGGAUGACUUACACUUUCAGAAAAUUGUGGGCUGGGAAUUCCUGCUGCCAAGGAUCUGAACAGAGGGGUUACUUGAAUAGGGGAGCUGAACUCCAAUCUUGAUGAGUACAAAGAACCCCUUUAUCAUCUCUGCCUACUCCUUUUUCAUCUCCAACUUGUUCAGACUUCAUUUCAGUUCCAAUAUCUUGAUGUAAUGUGUGCUCUGAAUUAUCACCGGC